GGCCUGGGCUCAACAACUCUCUGCUUCAAUGAACAUUUUCCAAAUCUUCCCAAGGCCAUUAUGGAAAGGAACCAAACCAAAUGCCUUCUGCACCUGAUGAGGAGGAAAUGGAAUCAAUUUUCUUCUGCCUCCAACUUUGAACGUUGAAAAGCAAACGCAGAAGGCAGAUCCGACAGGGGUCUGACUGUGUGAGAAGCUCAACAGUGUUGUAUUUCAGGAGCUUCUGCUGAGAUGGAAUUGCUUCGUAAUUUUAAAUUCUUACAAGGUGCAGAUAAAUGCAUCUGUUGUGAGCUGAGGGGCUGACCUGUUAUGCCCUGUGGAGAGAAUCAGUGUGUGCAAAGAGGAAGUAGGAGAGUCUUCAUUGCUCCCUCUGCCUCCUGCUCUUGGAGCUAUGGGGCAUGCCAUUGGAAGGCUCUGAAUGUUAAUGGCUAAGGAGGCUGCCUUAGAGCUCCAGGGUUCCAGGGUUCUUUCCUUUCAACAUCGUCACUGGUAUUAGAGAACCCACUCUGUUGGCCCUGCUUUAAAUACAACCAAUACCUUAUUCUGGGAGCUGAAAAAAAUAAAUAAAUAAACCAAACCCCAAACACACGUGCUCUGAGGGCACUGAGCUGUUGAAAGGGGAGGUUGAUUUAUUAGGGAAAGUGGUUUAUCCACUGUCAGAAUGGUGCCUGUUAAACAGGUUGGGUUUUUUUUCUUUCCUGUCGAAUGCAUUUUCUUACGUUUUCCCCGGGCCUUCUGUUGCUAGCAGAUCAAUACCCUGCAGACUGCUCAAAUGAAUUUCUGUCUCCAUCCACUCAUGCUUCUCUGUUGUGCUUGUUGGAGCAUCCAGACCUGACAUCCAGUGCUUCGCAGCCUAUGGUUUGUGAUAAACUGGAUGAUCCUAUGAAAUCAGAUGGUUCUCCAAGAGGACUUUGUACACAAUAACAGCCACGUUAUGCAAUGACUAAGAUUGUUAAACUGAACCCUUCUCAGCGUUACAAGAAUCUAAGACAUCUCCAGAGGCCUCAGGAUGGAAAAUGCUGUCCACAUCCAAAGGAAGAACUAUGGAAGUCGAAUCGCUAUCACCUAUUUUUACCUUCUGUUGAGUUUUGUUUCAUCUUUCUGAUGGUUCCUCCUAUUGGUUUUAAUUUUUACUUACAACUUCACUGAUGUGAAAAUAUGUUUAAUGGGUAUGUAAAUGUAAAGCCUAUAUCAGAUUGUGUGCCG
rnacentral:lncRNA from 1 species